GAUGAACGCUGGCGGCGUGCCUAAUACAUGCAAGUCGAGCGAACAGACGAGGAGCUUGCUCCUCUGACGUUAGCGGCGGACGGGUGAGUAACACGUGGAUAACCUACCUAUAAGACUGGGAUAACUUCGGGAAACCGGAGCUAAUACCGGAUAAUAUAUUGAACCGCAUGGUUCAAUAGUGAAAGACGGUUUUGCUGUCACUUAUAGAUGGAUCCGCGCCGCAUUAGCUAGUUGGUAAGGUAACGGCUUACCAAGGCAACGAUGCGUAGCCGACCUGAGAGGGUGAUCGGCCACACUGGAACUGAGACACGUUCCAGAAUCCUACGGGAGGCAGCAGUAGGGAAUCUUCCGCAAUGGGCGAAAGCUUGACGGAGCAACGCCGCGUGAGUGAUGAAGGUCUUCGGAUCGUAAAACUCUGUUAUUAGGGAAGAACAAAUGUGUAAGUAACUAUGCACGUCUUGACGGUACCUAAUCAGAAAGCCACGGCUAACUACGUG
rnacentral:rRNA from 1 species